CACUUCGAUUGCCAUAAGUCUUUGUUUACUAUAAAUUAAGUCUGCUGUAACAGAAAAUGUUUAGUUGAUGUUCUGCAAAGUAUCUCGGAGUGAGUUAUUCAGACUGUAAGUUCUCGAUGAAGAGACAACCAAAAACGGGUGGUCUGUUCUGGGGAAACUUGAAGCUAAUUCUGCUCUGAGGAAGAUGGGGCUUUGUUUAAGAGUGAAUGGAUGUUAUGGUAAGCCCAGAAGAUGCUGAGGAGGAGUAUCAGAGAGACUCCUUUGGAAGAAAAAUAGAUUACAGGGGCUUCCAUCUCUGGUACCACUUUCCAAGAAGGCAGCAGGCAAAAGAAAA